GCGGCCAUCGCGUAAUGGUAGCGUUGAGGCCUGUGGCGCCUUAGGCCCGGGUUCGAUUCCCGGUGGCCGCC
rnacentral:tRNA from 1 species